AACAUUUUGGACCGAUACUGACACUGAGGGACGAAAGCGUGGGGAUCAAACAGGAUUAGAUACCCUGGUAGUCCACGCUGUAAACGAUGAGUACUAGCUGUUGGAGUCGGUGUAAAGGCUCUAGUGGCGCAGCUAACGCGAUAAGUACUCCGCCUGGGGACUACGGCCGCAAGGCUAAAACUCAAAGGAAUUGACGGGGACCCGCACAAGCGGUGGAGCAUGUGGUUUAAUUCGAUGCAACGCGAAGAACCUUACCUGGUCUUGACAUCCUGCGAUCUUUCUAGAGAUAGAUUGGUGCCUUCGGGAACGCAGUGACAGGUGCUGCACGGCUGUCGUCAGCUCGUGUUGUGAAAUGUUGGGUUAAGUCCCGCAACGAGCGCAACCCCUAUUGAUAGUUACCAUCAUUAAGUUGGGUACUCUAUUGAGACUGCCGCUGACAAAGCGG
rnacentral:rRNA from 1 species